rnacentral:rRNA from 1 species
AUGAAGUUCAAGGCCUCCUUCACCGACGACGGCAUCUCCCUGCUCGACAAGCGUAAGCCCCAGUGCAGCGCACUCCUCGAUUCCCCUCCCUCCCCCCGUCGCAAUUCGCCGAACACCUCACGCGCGCCCCGCAAUUCCGUUCCCGCAGGGUUCCUCCCGGCCAUCGACAAGGUGGGCCGCGUGUGCCACGUCUACCUCACCCCCACGCACGCCAUGCUCCUCCACAACCUCCUCGGCUCCACGGGGCCCGAAGGCGACGGGCCGCAGUGCGUCGCGCAGUUCGCCAAGGACCUCCUCUUCCGCGAGUACAACGUGUCGUCGCGGGACGGCAACCGCGUCGCCUUCUCCGUCGACGUCGCGCUGCUCCAUCGCGCCAUCCGUAGCGCGCUCGCCGUCCACGCGCAGUCGCCGGCUGACGGGGACGCCCCCGCGGCGAUUCAGGUCAAGCUCGUCAACAAGCAGACCCCCGGGUCCCGUUCUGCUGCCCCGUUCCUCACGUUCGAGACCAAGGGCGCUCGCUCCGCCGUCGUGCAGGACGUCCCCAUCUCGAAGCCACUGUCACGCUCCGAUGUUGCGCGCUUGCAGGAUGCGCUUGACGCCGCCCAAGAGCUUCCUGAGACUCUGGUCCAGGUUCCAGAUCUGCAACAGUUACAGAACCUGGUGGAUCGUCUAAAAAACAUUGGUGAUCUGCUGUCUGUAACUGUUACCCAAUAUGGUGAUCUCCAUCUACAAGUUUCAACUUCUCUUGUUACCGUUGGUUCAGAAUUCAAAAGGCUUCGGAUUCUUGGUGCUCGUGCAAAUGCACCUGUUGUUGAUCAAAAUGUGAGUGCUACCAUUCGUAUGGAAAUGGCGGUUGAGAGAGGCGAAGCACUGUCAGUGGUAUUGCUCCUAAGCUCCAUUUAUUUAUUCAUCAUUUUAUUCUUUUCAUGUCAGAUGUUCACAGGUGUCUGUUAUUCUAUUUUCUUGCAGCAAGUGAGUAUGAAGCACCUAGUUAAGAGCCUACAAUGUCAUUUGGCCAAGCCAGAUUGUACCUUCUAUGGUAUUGCUCCCAAUGGUGCUUGCUUGACAGUGAUAUUCCAGUACUUCAUUCCAGGAACACGGUUGACGGACAAAUCCAUUAGCUUUUACUGUAGGCUUCCAGUCCUUGACCCUGGCACCAGCUAA